rnacentral:lncRNA from 1 species
AUGACACAACUCCUCACUGCUUUGAAUUGCACCCCAGCAUGUGAAAAUGGCCUAGGGUUUCCAGUUUCCAAACCUGAUGUGAUCUCCGAGUUGGAACUAGGGGAAGAGUCAUGGGUCUCAGACCUCCAGGGUUCAGAGGAAAGAGAGAUCCUGAGAGCUCCCUGCACAGGAAGCAUAGCAGUGAGACCUCUACUGGAAAAAGCUUGUAAACUAUUGAUACUCCUAAUCUCUGUUAGAGGAACUGCAGUCGCAGCAGGGAGGGCUUUGUCUCAUUCUAAGAGAUCCGUCAUGGAGGUCAUGGCAGUGUUGGAUUCUGUGACUUCUUGCAACCUCCAUGACUUCUGCAGUGGCCACUGUGGUUGACUCCAGAGCUGCCCAAGCUGCUGGCUCUGGGGAACACCCAAGCAGCGGCCAAUGUGACUGGCCUUGGGGACCACUUGACCAGUUGUUCCAAGGGUAGCAGGAGCAGCUGCAGCUUGGUGGCCCCCAGCAGCACUCCUGGGGUGACUGGAGCAGCAGCUGGCCCCCUGGGGCUCCCCGCUCUGGGGCAGCAGCUGGAGUAGCAGUGGUUCUCAGGGCUUCUUCCCUGGUAGCUGGUGCUUGUUAUCCAUCAAAUAAAUAAAACACUUCCACCUGCAAGUGGAUUUAGCCCAGGACCCUCAGUGUCAGCAGCUCUUACACCCCCCCACUGAGCUCUCUGGUCAGGUAUCCUAGUGCGAGAAGCCUCCUGUUUAGAUCCUAAAGUAGUGUUUUUGCACUGGGGGAUGGGGGUGCUGAAAUUUUGGACCGGACAUUGUAGCUCCACUGUUAUUUUAUUGAAUUGCUUCAAAGCAGCAAGUCAAGAAAGUCUAAGUGCCGGGCUCUCUGCCAUGGAAACAGCUGCCCCUGCUCUCCAGGAGUCUGUAUGUUCCACCCAGCAAAGUACAAACCUGCUACAAACUGAAGGGGUGUCAGACAGUGACAGUAACACAAAUGUUCAGACUAUUAACCUAAGUCCCUUC